rnacentral:rRNA from 1 species
UACGGAGGAUGCAAGCGUUAUCCGGAAUUAUUGGGCGUAAAGCGUCCGCAGGCGGCACUUCAAGUCUGUCGUCAAAGACCGGGGCUUAACCCUGGAAAGGCGAUGGAAACUGAAAGGCUAGAGAGAGGUAGGGGUAGAGGGAAUUCCCAGUGUAGCGGUGAAAUGCGUAGAGAUUGGGAAGAACAUCGGUGGCGAAAGCGCUCUACUGGACCUCAUCUGACACUCAGGGACGAAAGCUAGGGGAGCGAAUGGG